GAUGAACGCUAGCGGCAGGCCUAAUACAUGCAAGUCGAACGGUAACAGGGAUAGCAAUAUCCGCUGACGAGUGGCGCACGGGUGCGUAACACGUAUGCAACCUACCUAUAACCGGGAAAUAGCUCGGAGAGAUUCGAAUUAAUGUCCCAUAAUAUCAUGAGAUGGCAUCGUUUUAUGAUUAAAGAUUUAUCGGUUAUGGAUGGGCAUGCGUUUGAUUAGCUAGUUGGUGAGGUAAUGGCUCACCAAGGCUACGAUCAAUAGGGGUUCUGAGAGGAUGAACCCCCACACUGGUACUGAGAUACGGACCAGACUCCUACGGGAGGCAGCAGUAGGGAGUAUUGGGCAAUGGAGGCAACUCUGACCCAGCCAUGCCGCGUGAAGGAAGAAGGCCUUCUGGGUUGUAAACUUCUUUUAUAUGGGAAGAAAGGACUCUUGCGAGAGGCGUUGACGGUACCAUAUGAAUAAGCACCGGCUAACUCCGUGCCAGCAGCCGUGUAACAC
rnacentral:rRNA from 1 species